rnacentral:misc_RNA from 1 species
GAUGAAGAACGCAGCGAAAUGCGAUAAGUAAUGUGAAUUGCAGAAUUCAGUGAAUCAUCGAAUCUUUGAACGCACAUUGCGCCCGCCAGUAUUCUGGCGGGCACGCCUGUUCGAGCGUCAUUACAACCCUCAGGCCCCCGGGCCUGGCGUUGGGGAUCGGCAGAAGCCCCCUGUGGGCACACGCCGUCCCUCAAAUACAGUGGCGGUCCCGCCGCAGCUUCCAUUGCGUAGUAGCUAACACCUCGCAACUGGAGAGCGGCGCGGCCAUGCCGUAAAACACCCAACUUCUGAAUGUUGACCUCGAAUCAGGUAGGAAUACCCGCUGAACUUAAGCAUAUCAAUAAGCGGAGGA